rnacentral:tmRNA from 1 species
AGGCUAUGCUUUACCUGUCACUAUAGUGUCUGUCAGAAAGCCAUCUAACCAACUAUGAUUCUGCCCAAGGACCAUGGCAACUAGUCUCUUUAAUCCUAUAUGGAGAUCUUCCUUAAAGGCCUCUGUGUAGAAUUCCUGAUCAUGACUUCUAGUCAUAUCCUGUACACAAACACUCAUGGUAUGUUCUAUGACUUCCUUUUCAGCAAUACGUGCUGCUGGCCACGUCCAGGUACUCGAAGUGUCCAGCUGGAGUCCAUUAUUCUUUGCACCCUUCUGAAUACAAUCCCGAAGCAGAGCUGUUGGCUGAGACAUGCAGUCCAAGAUUAUCUUCACAACCCAGCACAUGUUCAAACAUGUGACAUGCUCAGCAAAUUCUCUCCUAAUUGCGCUUUCAUAGCCUUUGAAGACUACUGGGUCCUCCACCAGGUCAUCAAGGGUCCAAAUACUCAGGGUUUCAGGAUUGCCUAACAUGGCAGUCCGUAGCCGCUGGAGUGUUUUCAGUGAGACACAGGUAUCGGUGUGUGGCCUGAUCUUUAUAGGUACCAGGGAAAACUUAUAAUUUGUCAGGGAUUCAGCCAACAAUUCACAGUUCUCACAGUCACAUGAAUAUUCUAUCAGAUCCUUCAAUCUAGCAGCCACUGUUGCAAACAUUUCAUCCACUGUAAAAGCUGGUGAGGCUGGGAAGUUAUGAAAAAAUAAGAGCUGGCACACAAAGAAGGCAGCACUUAGCACCUCAUUACAGUUUUCAUUUUCAGGCCAUUUAUGAACAGAAGGCAACUUCUUGAACAGAGUGAGAAGGGCAGGCACAUAACAAAAUUCCCUGGAAUCAUAGAUUUUUUUAGCAUCUGCCACGACCUGAGAUAUAUCAGUACAAUUUGAAAGAUUCUUAAGUAUGUUCAUAAAUUUCUCAUACUGUUCCUUUUCUCUGUCAGAUGUGACCAUGAGAAUUGAAACCUGCUGGCAACCACCACCUUCACGGGUUUCAAGGUCCAUUUUUGAACACAUUAUCCCACAAUGUGCUGCAGUCUGCAAGAAAUAAUAGCCUCCCACUUUUAUGGAAAUCUGGUAGCUCCUCCUACAUGAGUCAUGAAAUGUCCCUUCAAAGGCUGAGGAGAGAGCACAACUCUUUUCAAUCUACACUCAAAAAUACAACUCCUGCACUACGAGGGAAUUUCUGCAGCGAUGGCCUCUGACUCGGAUUCCCCUUCAGCCGAUAAGCACCCUGAAGAUGGUUUGAAUGCUCUGCAGUAUGUCAAGAAUUUGGAACUUGCUCUUCGGCGUCUGCAGUCAGACAGUCUCAAACAUGGGCCUUUGUCUGGGUUAAUAUUUGACCUGAACUUCUACAAUGUCUGGGUAAUGUUCAGAAACCAGAAGGUGAGGUUUAAUGCCAAAGUCCAUAACAGGCAUCCAUGUGGGUACAUAUCUCACCACCUGAUCAAAUAUGCCAUUGAAAGAGUUGUCUAUACCACAGACAGGCUGUUUCUGACUGCCCCAUGUUCGGGGGUACAGCUACCUCAACCUCUGGCCUGCAGUCUGUUCGAAAUACUCAAGGAUGUUAGAGGAAAAUGCACAACGGCCUGGAGGCGCUUAGGGGCAGGCCGCAGACAUUUAAUGACAUUUGGGCGCAAUGUGUUGGAUGAAUUUAAUUCUGAGAAGAAGUCACCUGGUGGCAUAUCCAGAGAAGUUGAGGCAUUUAUAAAGAUAUGCUUUCCACAAAUGGACUUAAAUAAAAUUUUAAUUCCAAUUUAUCAGCACGCCAUCAACAUCCCACCAGACUGUGUACCCAGCUGUACUAUUGGAGAUGGAAACAGAAAACGAGCCCCCCACGGUUCGCUAUACAGUAAAGACAUAUCCUCACAAAAGUUCUGCAUCCCAGACCCCCUGUUUGCUUCUCCCACAGAACCAGGGUUGGGGGAGUUGCAUAGGGGUAAUAUGGCACAUUUGCUGCAGAACCCAGAAGAAAUCAUUAACCUGGACCCUCUACACAAUACCACUGAACCCUGUUUGUAUCAAAUGUUUUCAGAGGCGGUGACAAACCCCUCUAAAAAAAGAUGGCUUUCUUCUUUCAACAUGGUCUUUUCAGGACUGUCUCCGAGAGCUCGGCCAGAGACCACUUAUGAACCAUUGGGGCCAUUUUCACCCAUUAGCCCUGGCCCUUCUUCCGCCACAGAAGAGUUCCAGUUUGAAUUUAGCCCUUCUCCUCAAACCUCCCCAGAAACAAGCGAGCAGAGCUACAUACCUACUCCCAACUCAGCUAUGGGCGGAUCCUUUGAGUACACAGGCGCCGUUCAACCACAACUAAUUCCAGAUAAUCACACCUGUUCCGCAAAGAGAUUAAGGGAGAGCGAUGAGGAGGUAAAUUAUUCUUCAGACGGUAGUCCAAACAAGAAACCCACAGCUCGCACUUCUGGGCACGAACAGGCUUAUGGUUUUCUGGCCGAGUUGCUCUCUAGCCACAGGGAUACGCCUGUCCAGCAUAUUGUGCAAUCUGGCUCAACGCCCGCCCCGCCAAUUGUUGAGCCUCAGGGACAAGAUUUUGUUGGAAAACAGGAUGAGACAUGUUCCAACGUGUUCCCAGAACAAAUUACUCAGGAAGCGUGUCCCGGAUCAUCUGAGGACGCGUUCAUCGAUGAUGCUAUAAAGGAAAUAUUUGCAUCGCUGGACUCUAUGGCAAACCAGGACACUGCUGACAGUGACACAUGUUCCAUACUUGACCCCCAAUCACCCACUCCCCCACCCUCCGUUCCCCCAAUAACUACACUCUCGUUGUAUGACAUUUAUGCCAGCAUACUUAGUCCACUCGACCCAAACAGCCUGGAGUCAUAAACGGUGCCAAAUACAAGACAUUUCUAAAUCCUUAAGUAUAAUGUUUAUAUUUAACUGAAUAAAAGAAGUGACGCUAUAAAACCCUCAA